GACGAACGCUGGCGGCGUGCCUAAUACAUGCAAGUAGAACGCACAGUUUAUACCGUAGCUUGCUACACCAUAGACUGUGAGUUGCGAACGGGUGAGUAACGCGUAGGUAACCUGCCUGGUAGCGGGGGAUAACUAUUGGAAACGAUAGCUAAUACCGCAUAAUAUUAAUUAUUGCAUGAUAAUUGAUUGAAAGAUGCAACUGCAUCACUACCAGAUGGACCUGCGUUGUAUUAGCUAGUAGGUGAGGUAACGGCUCACCUAGGCGACGAUACAUAGCCGACCUGAGAGAGUGAUCGGCCACACUGGGACUGAGACACGGCCCAGACUCCUACAGGAGGCAGCAGUAGGGAAUCUUCGGCAAUAGACGAAAGUCUGACCGAGCAACGCCGCGUGAGUGAAGAAGGUUUUCGGAUCGUAAAGCUCUGUUGUAAGAGAAGAACGGGUGUGGGAGUGGAAAGUUCACACUGUGACGGUAUCUUACCAGAAAGGGACGGCUGACUACGUG
rnacentral:rRNA from 1 species